rnacentral:lncRNA from 1 species
AUUGGAAUGAUCUUCCCUUACUUCAACCAAGUUAUUGCAGUAGCAGGAGCUCUCACUUAUUGGCCUUUGGUGAUACAUUUCCCUUUGGAAAUGUACUUGGUGCAGAAAAACAUUAGACCUUAUACAGGGAAGUGGAUCGCUCUUCGUGUCUAUAGCACCAUUGCCUUGAUUGUGGCAAUGUUUGCCUUGGUUGGCUCCGUAGAGGGACUUAUAAGCGCAAAAUUUGGCAGUGGCUAACUCAAAAUCUUUAAGAAUAUUGAAAUUAUGUAUAAAGCUGUACAUUGCCUGAUAAAAUUGUUUGCAGAUGAUGAAGAAAACGUCACAGUUCAAUUUUUUCACAAUACUGAUGUAUGUGCCCCUGCCAGACCACAUCUAGACUUCUGUUCGAACAAAAAAUCGACCAUCAUAUAUAUAUACAUUGGAAGUUUAGUUUUUAAAAACUUAUACCGACUUGAAGAUCUGUAUCAAUUCUACGAAAUUCUAUUUUUUUUGUUAUUUAUUAUAUAUAUAUAUAUAUAUUUAAAAUCGACUAUACUUUAUUAAAAACUAUAUAUUAUUAUUAAUGUGUUAAAAUUUGAAUUAAAUAGGCAUAAUAUUUUGUUAACUAGAGUAAAUUUUUACAAUGUCGUGAAAUAUCCUAGUCCCAACUUAAUAAAUAAAUUUGAUUUCGAAUCAUGAUAAGAAGUGAAUGCAUAAUAAAAUUAAAAGUGAUAAUGGAACAAUUUUAUAAUUAUUGUAAAAUAAUAGUAACAUAUUGUACAUACAAGAAUAAUAAACAAGGAUCAUUGCCUUGGCUGAAUUCUCCAUAUAAUUUAGGUCUAUUUUAUAACAUGUUCCAAAUUUUUUAUUAAAAAAAAAAACAUGUUCCAAAUUUAUGUUUUGACGGAAAAGAAAGAGAGUUCAAAAAUCAGUUUCCGUUGUAGACAUUUUUUUGGUAAAAUUGAAAUUAAGGCAUCUUUUCUGAGUUUGGUUGAAGACGGCGCUAAACUUUUGGCCAUGUUUGUUACUAAUAGAGUAGAUUAUAUAUAUGCAGUACAGUUGACGAGAUGUAUCCUGAACAUAGUUUUAUGUGGUUUGUGUACUAGCACCAGAAGAGGUGAUGGGGGUAGAAAAAACAGCAGAAGAUGAUGAUGCUCUCGCUCCUUUCCUGCCCCCCAAACCAGCAAAUGCAUCUCUGAUCCCUCCCCACCUCCACAACCGCAAUGGUGCCUCUCUCUCUCUCUCUCUCUCUCUCUCUCCCCUCUCUCUCUCUCUCUCUCGCUCGCUCUCUCCCUCCCUCUCUCUCACCCUCUCCCUCUCUCUCUCUCUCGCCCUCUCCUCCUCUCUUUAUCCCUCUCUCCCUUCCUCUAGCAAUAGCGAUCACAGAGAUGUAAAUGUAUGCAAAAAAGCCUCAAUUUCUCAGCAGGGUCAAACCUACUAAUUAUUGGUGCUUAAUGUUGAUUAAAAUAUGGAUUACGACUGGUUAAUGCAAUUAACAAGAAUGUUCAAUUUUAAAUUUGUUUAUUGAAGGGAAUACAUGGACUGCUGUGGCACAUAUAAUUACAGCAGUCAUUGGGUCAGGAGUACUAUCUUUGGCAUGGAGUAUUUCGCAGCUUGGUUGGAUUGGUGGUCCUUUAUCUAUUGUUUCCUUCGGACUCAUGAGUCUACUUUCUGCAUUUCUUUUAUCCGAAUGCUAUCGAUCUCCUGACCCUGAUUUUGGACCCUCCAGAAAUGGUAGUUACAUGGAUGCUGUUAAGGCCAUCUUAGGUGAGUGAAUGUCUUGUAAAACUUUCAUGUCUUACUGGUUAUUAAUAACAGUACAUUGCAUAGUGAAAUGAUAUUAAAUUGCUAAUUUUGCAAUGUAGCAGCACUUUCUGGACUAGUAUAAAUAAGGACUUGCUUCGAUUUUUCUGCAGCUCUUGCUAUAGCCUUAUAGGGUUUAAGAAAGAUUUUAUGUAUAAUGCAAUAUGGGGUAACUGUGGUUAAUCCUUCUCUAUUAUGAGUCUAUGACAAGUCUGUUUUUACACCAUGAUUUUGAUUGGCUGAACUAAAAAAAAGUGUUUCCAGCUGAUGUAAUUGGUUUCCGUUGUUCCCUGCAUCUGACUUCAUUACAAACAAUAACCAUCUUAAAGCUGACUAUUGACAUCUAAACUUCACAACAAGUUGCCUGGCAAGCUAUAUUAGCAACAGAGUACUAUAUGAUAUACUGUUGUUUACCUGCUUAAAAUUACAUAGGAUCGUCCUUUUUUUUUUUCUUUUCAAAAUAGCUAUAAGCAAGAUUGUCCAUUGAAUUUCAGGGAAUUGGAGUGUCUGGUUAUGCAAUAUAUUUUUUCGUCUGAAUUUAUUCAAGACUGGAGUUGUCUAUAUGAUAACAUCUGGAAUCAGCAUGAGGUAUGAACAUAGCCCAUUUGGUCUUACCACACCUGAUCACUUUUAUAAUGCAUGUCUACAUUUAAUUGGUAAACUACUUGACUAAAAAUCUUAUUUCAUUGUUGUAUUUAUAACAGGGCAAUUCAGCAAUCAAAUUGUUAUCACAAGGAUGGGCACGAGGCUCCUUGUGAAUAUGAAAAUACUUAUUCUAUACUUCUUUUUGGAAUUGUUCAAAUUUUUGUCUCCCAGAUACCUGAUUUUAGUGAUACAAAGUGGCUUUCCAUUGUUGCUGCUAUCAUGUCCUUCACUUAUGCUGGUAUUGGAUCAGUACUUGGCUUGGCAAAAGUACUAGGUAUGGCAGACUAAUGUUAUCAUCAUGUUUUUAGCUUUUACUAAAGUAUAUAAGUUUGUACUAAAGUAUAUAUAAUGGAAAGUUGAAAAUAAAUAAGAUCUGGUUUAUAUCAUACAAGUUCAUAGACGAACUAGUUGCCAAAUCUUACUGAAAUUGCAGGAGAUGGAGAAAUCAAAGGUAGCAUUCAAGGAGCUCCAUAUGCUACUACAGCUCAGAAAGUAUGGUCAAUCUGUCAAGCACUGGGAGACGUGGCUUUUGGAUUUAACUACUCUUUAAUCCUUCUUAACAUACAGGUAGAGCAGUGCGGCUUCUUGAUAGAACCACUGACAUUUAUAAAUAAGUGAUAACAUAUUUUACACUUUGUGAAUGUGAAGGAUACUUUGAGGUCUCCUCCAGAAGAAAAGGAUACUAUGAAGAAGGCAUCUGUGAUUUCAACUGCUAUCACAACUUUCUUCUAUAUCUGCUGUGGAGGAUUUGGCUAUGCAGCUUUUGGGGAUUCCACUCCAGGGAACCUCUUGACAGGGUUUGGAUUCUAUGAACCGUACUGGCUUAUUGACUUUGCUAAUGCUUGUGUCGUUCUCCAUUUAGUUGGAGGAUAUCAGGUGCAUAAAGAGCUACAUAUCCAUAUAUCUUAAACAAUUCUUCAGGUUGUCAAAGUGGAUUUACGUAUUGUUUCUGCGGCUAUGUUGACAGGUAUACAGUCAGCCACAGUUUGCACUUGCAGAAAGAUAUUUUGUUGAGAAGUUCCCAGACAGUGUAUUUGUAUGUAAAGACUUUGCUCUCAAACUUCCGUGGUUGCCAUCAUUUAGACUAAACCUGCUCCGAUUGUGCUUCCGAACGGCCUACGUUGUUUUAACAAUGACAAUUGGGAUGAUCUUUCCGUACUUUAACCAAGUUGUUGCUGUAGCAGGAGCUUUUACUUAUUGGCCUUUGGUCAUAUAUUUUCCCUUGGAAAUGUACUUGGUGCAGAAAAACAUUAGACCUUAUACAGGGAAGUGGAUUGCUCUUCGUAUUUAUAGUGUUAUUGCGUUGCUUGUGGCAAUGUUUGCCUUGGUAGGCUCCAUUGAAGGGC